GCAGAGUAGAAAAUCUAGCGUAAAGUGUAUGUUGGACGGGGAGUUGCCGGCAUAACGAAGAGUAUAAGGCUCGCGGUGAGAUUUUCGCAUCCCGCUGU
rnacentral:ncRNA from 1 species